rnacentral:rRNA from 1 species
GACAGAGGUGCCGAGCGUUAGGCGGAAUCACUGGGCUUAAAGCGUGUGUAGGCGGGCCGUUAAGUAUCUUGUGAAAUCCCCCGGCUCAACCGGGGAAUGGCUGGAUAUACUGGCGGUCUUGAGCAGUUCAGGGGGCAGAUGGAACUGACGGUGGAGCGGUGAAAUGCGUAGAUAUCGUCAGGAAUGCCGGUGGUGAAGACGGGUGACUGGGCUGGUUCUGACACUGAGGCACGAAAGCGUGGGGAGCGAACGGG